AUUAGUUCAGUUUUGAUGACUAGGCCGUCGGAAACGGGGAUACUUGAAAGGAACUCGUUUAUGACUCUAGUUGGGGUCAGCUCGCUUGUUGAGCGUGACGCGAAGGGAAGGGUAAAUGGUCUGGUUGGUGGGUUUGCUAGUUGCCAGUGACUGUAUGUAGUUCUUCAGUCCUGCGGAAACCACUGCGUUUUAACGAUGUUGUAGAUGCAGGCAGUCGACUCCAGGGAACACCAGUGCCUUUCAAGAUGAUAUAAAAUAUGAAGAAAUUCUUCUUAAUUUGAUUACAUUUCACUUUAAUAAAAAUACUUAAUAUUGUUA